rnacentral:rRNA from 1 species
AUGAACGCUGGCGGCGUGCUUAACACAUGCAAGUCGAACGGUGAACACGGAGCUUGCUCUGUGGGAUCAGUGGCGAACGGGUGAGUAACACGUGAGCAACCUGCCCCUGACUCUGGGAUAAGCGCUGGAAACGGCGUCUAAUACUGGAUAUGUGACGUGACCGCAUGGUCUGCGUUUGGAAAGAUUUUUCGGUUGGGGAUGGGCUCGCGGCCUAUCAGCUUGUUGGUGAGGUAAUGGCUCACCAAGGCGUCGACGGGUAGCCGGCCUGAGAGGGUGACCGGCCACACUGGGACUGAGAAACGGCCCAGACUCCUACGGGAGGCAGCAGUGGGGAAUAUUGCACAAUGGGCGCAAGCCUGAUGCAGCAACGCCGCGUGAGGGAUGACGGCCUUCGGGUUGUAAACCUCUUUUAGCAGGGAAGAAGCGAAAGUGACGGUACCUGCAGAAAAAGCGCCGGCUAACUACGUG